AGUGAACGCUGGCGGUAGGCCUAACACAUGCAAGUCGAACGGCAGCACAGUAAGAGCUUGCUCUUACGGGUGGCGAGUGGCGGACGGGUGAGGAAUACAUCGGAAUCUACUUUUUCGUGGGGGAUAACGUAGGGAAACUUACGCUAAUACCGCAUACGACCUACGGGUGAAAGCAGGGGAUCUUCGGACCUUGCGCGAUUGAAUGAGCCGAUGUCGGAUUAGCUAGUUUGCGGGGUAAAGGCCCACCAAGGCGACGAUCCGUAGCUGGUCUGAGAGGAUGAUCAGCUACACUGGAACUGAGACACGGUCCAGACUCCUACGGGAGGCAGCAGUGGGGAAUAUUGGACAAUGGGCGCAAGCCUGAUCCAGCCAUACCGCGUGGGUGAAGAAGGCCUUCGGGUUGUAAAGCCCUUUUGUUGGGAAAGAAAAGCAGCAGGUUAAUACCCCGCUGUUCUGACGGUACCCAAAGAAUAAGCACCGGCUAACUUCGUG
rnacentral:rRNA from 1 species